rnacentral:rRNA from 1 species
CCUACGGGUGGCAGCAGUGAGGAAUAUUGGUCAAUGGCCGGAAGGCUGAACCAGCCAAGCCGCGUGAAGGACGAAGGUGCCAAGCAUUGUAAACUUCUUUUGUCAAGGGACAAAAUCAGGCUCGAGAGCCUGACCGAGGGUACUUGAAGAAAAAGCAUCGGCAAACUUCGUGCCAGCAGCAGCGGUAAUACUGAGGAUGCGAGCGUUAUCCGCAUUUAUUGGGUGGAAAGGGUGCGUAGGCGGACUGUGCAGUCAGCGGUAAAAGCACGGGGCUCAAACCCGGCGAGCCGUUGAAACGGGCUGUCUUGAGAUUUCGAUGGGUCUGCGGACUGCGCAGGGUAGCGGUGAAAUGCGUAGAUAUUGCGCAGAAAUCCGAGUGCGAAGGCAGCAUACCGGCGGCGUUCUGACGCUGAGGAACGAAAGCGUGGGUAUCGAACAGGAUUAGAUACCCGAGUAGUC